rnacentral:rRNA from 1 species
GACGUAGGGGGCGAGCGUUAUUCGGAAUUAUUGGGCGUAAAGAGCUCGUAGGCGGUGUGUCGCGUCGGCCGUGAAAACCUGCAGCUUAACUGUGGGCUUGCGGUCGAUACGGGCAUGACUGGAGUUCGGCAGGGGAGACUGGAAUUCCUGGUGUAGCGGUGAAAUGCGCAGAUAUCAGGAGGAACACCGGUGGCGAAGGCGGGUCUCUGGGCCGAUACUGACGCUGAGGAGCGAAAGCGUGGGGAGCGAACAGG